AAGAAAGAAAAGAAGAACAAAAACCCUAGGUGGAAAAAUUCAAGGGAAAAGUGUGAAAAUUCAAGAAAACAAGUGACAAAAGGUAAGAUUUUUCAAUUCUAGCUUGUGAUUUACCUUUCCUAUGCAUUCUUUUUCAUUUUCCAUGGUUGAGAAUCAAGAUUUCAUGAUGAAUCCCUUGCUGGCCGGACAUGGGGGGAAGAGUUUUGAUGCUUGAUUUGGUUAGAUUUUAAGAUAUUUUAGUGUUUUUAGUUAGUUAGUAAUGUGUAGCAUGAAAAUCAAGCAAGAAAAAUUCAUUUUCUUCCAUUACCCAUCAUUGGCUGAAUUUUCCAUGUAAAGUGUCACGACCCAAAUUUCGGGCCAUGACUGUGCAAAGGCCCAAUGGACGUAGUCUACUAAGCCCAAGCAAGCCUAUCUAUUUAUCCUACUCAUCAUUCCAUCAAAUAUUGCUAAGUCACAUUUUAUAACUUUAAAUCAAAAUAGUGAUAGACAUUGCCAACUCGUACUAGCAUUACUCAUUUAAAAUAUACAUACAUUAUCUACAACAUGUAUUCUAGUAAUUUACAUUAAGUUGUCUAUACAUAUCAAAAGGAGACUCGAUGUCCAGCGGAGGGACUCGGACGAAUGUACAACUACUGAAUGUCGAGACACCUACCAAAAGAUGGAUACAAGUCUACAAGGACACCUCGUCCUAGUUACCGGCUGCCUCGUGAUCUGAAAACAUGAAGUAGAAAACGGUGAGUAUAAACCCAGUGAGUGAACAAGGAAAGAAACAAGCAACCAUAAGAGAGAAUUUAAAAUCAUGAUGCACUUGUUUUAAAAUAAUGCAAUUUAAUUUCAUUCAUAUUGAAAACCCCUCAUUAAACCCUCAAAAUAAUUAAUCACUUGGUAAUGAUGAACCCAUAUAUAACAAAUAAUUUGAAAAAUGAAAGCCUUACUGAUACACAAGCAAGUCAAAUGUGACAACGAAUCUUUGCUGCAGCGAAAAGGCAUUAAGUUAUUAGCCAAACAAGGGUUCCUCAACUGGCAGAGGGUUUCUCAUCAAACCUACUCAUUUUAAACUUAAUUCACUUAUUCCUUAAUGUUGGAAGUCCAAGCUCAACUAUGGUACCAAAGAAAUGGAAAAUGGAGCAACAAUCGAACCAAAAAGGAAACGAAACAGAAAGUUAAUUUUGGUCGUAAAACAGAAUGUUUCUCGUUGCAGUACCUUUUUUGCUGCAGCGAAAAUGGAUUCUCGCUGCAGUGAGUUUUCGGCCAGCCUUCCCCUUCAAAACCCGAGAGUUUAUUGCUACAGCGAAAAUGAAUCUCGUUGCAGCGAGAAACAGAGCACCAAGAAAAAAAGUUUCCAUUCACUCAAUAAAAGGCCAUCUUGCUAAACCAACAAAAUCAACAUAAAACACAUGAAAAUUCCCAAAGUGCAAUGUAUCAAAUUUCACAGAUAUGUCAAUCAUAUAUCAUAUUCAUGAGCUUUCAUUUCAUAAGUAUAGAUAUGCAUAAUUACAUAGAUAAACAUCAAUAUCAUCAUAAUCACACCCGGCUCAUGUACAUCCCCCCACAUCGUGCACAUAGCCGGCGCCAUCGUGUGCAUCCCCCCACAUCGUGCACAAUCAGUGCCAUCGUGUACAACCCCCCACAUCAUGCACACGGGCACUAUCAUCAUCCAUCUCUCACGCCACCAUCAACACCGGCAUGUGCAUCCCCCACAUCGUGCACACACACGGUUACAGUCAUUGUACACAAUAUCAAUCAUCAUGCACAACACACGUAUAUAUUUAUCAUCAUAAUGCAAUAGUGCAUGAAUCCAUAGCAAUCACAUAUCACCACAUAAAACCAUUUAGCAAAAGCUUGUUCCCAAGGCACUUGUUUUUCAUGAAAAACUUGAUAAUUCAUUCAAAUGUGUGGCAAAUACAUUAUAUUCCCAAAACAAGUUUUGAAGGUAGUUCACUCACCGGUAUAUUGUUGAGCCUUUAGCUGACUCUAAUUCCCCUAAUGAUCCAAUUGGAAAGAUGGGACUUCGUUAGAACCUAGAAUCACAUUAGCAUAAGCAAUAGGUCAAUUCACACAUUAUAAACCCUAAAAGAUAUCUCUUAGCUAGCUUUCAGUUGCCACAUUAAAUGGCUAUCUAUGUUCACUAUCUUAAUCACUACAAAAGGAAUGAACAUACUCAACAAUAAAAUAGCUCAUAAUCCCAAUUACUAGACAUUAUUCAUAGCUAAAAAUCAAGCUUAGUUCAUCACUUACCCUAGGGUUCCUUUGUAGUCAAAUUCUCUUCCAAUAGCUUCCAAACAAAUGGGGUAAUUCUCUCUUUCUCUCUCUAAAAUGCCCAACUAGUGAGAGAAAGUAUGGAAAUAAGAUUUUUCAAGGGUUUUAAGGCGAGAGAGUGGAAGAAUACAAGGGUUCUAGUCAUAAAGGCACAAAGAUAUGAAAACUAAGGCUAGAGAGAGAGAAUUAUGCAAGCUCCAUAUCAAGCGUCCAUGGAGGUUGGAAGCAACGUGAGAUGGAAGAAGAAGAAAAAGACAAAGCUGCUAGAAAAUGGGAGAAGAAGCUCCUCGAAACAAAAUAUUUAUAGCUCAAAUUUAUCCUUUCCUUUGAAAUUACCAAAUUACCCCUCCACAAAUUAGCUUCUUCUCCUCCAAUCUUUCAUGCACUCUUUUUGUUCUUUUUGACACUGGGAUAAGGUCCAUAAUGGUCUAGACAUGCUCAGGUUCAUGAAAACUUAAAAUUCUAACCCGAGGUGAAAAAUGACCAUUUUGCCUUUGUUGUGAAAAUUAUUGCCACUUCUAGUUUUCUUCAUGUUUUCAUCAUUACACAUCAUUUAUGAGGUCUUAUGCCUAUUUAGACCUUAAAAUAUCAUAAAACUUUCUUCUGGGAGCUUAUUAGAGAAAAUGACGAAACUACCCCUAGCCUUUAUUAUUACGUCUAUGCCUAGUUACGAGCCUGUAGAGGCCAAUGUCUCACAUAAAGUGUGGAUGCUGGAUUUGAUUUUUAUUUCAAGUGAAUUGGUCAGGAAAUGAUGAAUUAUGGUGAAAAAACAAGUAGGAAAAAUCAUAGUGUUGAUGCACCCACCAUGGUCGAAAUUCCCAAGAGAAAAUGUGAAGAUGAUUUUGCUAAAUUUUAUGCUAUUUGAUUUGUGUUUGAUGGUUUAGAGAAUUGGAAGAAAAAUGGAGUUAAUUGGAGAUGAAUUGGACUUAUUGGCCAAUUAAUCGAGUGAUAGAUUGAAUUAGGCCAAUACCGUUUUAUUUAGGUACACAAUUGAAUUUGUGUAGAACACCAUGUUUAGACGAUAAUCCGAACAAUUUGCAUUCCAUUUCAUUCAUCCAUAUAGUUUUAUAACAGUUUAGCACCAAUGUGGUAAAUUGCUUGAUUGUGUAUUAUGUCUAGGUGGUGAAUCCUCCGAUAAGGGCAAAGAAAUUGUACUCGAGGAUCGAUAGUCGGAGUACUCUAAAAAUUCAACUCCUGAAAUAGUGAGUAACCUUAUCAUCAUUUUAAAUAUCUAAAGUGGUCUUUUUAUUCAAUUUUGUGAAUUUUAUAGAAAAUGAGUUAAAUGGUAAAUCUUUGUGUUUUGUAACUAAAAUGUUAUUUAAUGAAAUGAUAUUAUAACAUCGUCUUGAAAUUGAAGGGUGGUUUGAAAAUAGAGUAAUUGGAGACUGUUUUCAUGUGUUGUAAAUUCAUGGUUCUAAUUGAUUAGCUUAUGGCAAUAUUUGCAUGGAUGGCUAAAUUGGAAUUUGUGCUGAAAAUGUAUAAACUGUUGUUUGCCUUAAUAUGCUGGAUAAUGAUAAAAUUGCCAUGUCAUGCUGUUGAAUUUUUAUUGUAUGGUGGGUUUAGCUUGUUGUAGUGGGCGGGUUUUGUUGACCAACCUAUUAGAGGGGCACGAAAUUCGGUUAUAUAAGUACCUUGGUCAGAGAGGCGCGUAGGGUAUGUCUUGAGGUAUGGUUAGAGUUCACAUCACACCAAACCACCUCGUGAUGAUGAACUCCGCUAACGCCAAGGAAUGGUUGUGUUUUUCAAGCUAAAAAAUAUGUUUAUGUGUAUACGAAACUUUUUAAUAGCCUUGGCGGACUCGGUUAAAUGCCUCGGCCAAGGUAUUCCUGAGAAUGAUUUUGGCAGGAGCCAAGCUUUUAAGAUACUCAUAAGCCAUGUUGAUUAUUUAAAUGAAAUGAAUAUUUAUGUUAUGAAUUACAUAUUGAGAUGGAAUAUUUUAAUCGUCUCCAUUUACACGACUUUAUAUAUUUUGAAUGGUGUUUGUUUACUCACUGGGAUUAUAUAAUCUCACCACCCUCCUUUCCACCCAUUUCAGGCUCAGAAUAAGCUGUAGAUAGCAGAUAUCGUCGAAGGCUACAGUUGGCUUUACUUCCUUAAAAAUCGUAGGUUCACAGCCUUCGUUCACUUUUGUCAUUUGAAGGCCCAUGUGUCACUGUAAAUUAAAUUUUAUACUUUGGUUAUCUGUAUUACAGUAUGUAUGAAUUUAUUUAGAUUUUACGCUAUAAAAAUUAUUUACCAGUAAC
rnacentral:lncRNA from 1 species